UAGCGGCGAGUGAAGCGGCAAAAGCUCAAAUUUGAAAUCUGGCACCUUCGGUGUCCGAGUUGUAAUUUGAAGAUUGUAACCUUGGGGUUGGCUCUUGUCUAUGUUUCUUGGAACAGGACGUCACAGAGGGUGAGAAUCCCGUGCGAUGAGAUGCCCAAUCCUAUGUAAGGUGCUUUCGAAGAGUCGAGUUGUUUGGGAAUGCAGCUCUAAGUGGGUGGUAAAUUCCAUCUAAAGCUAAAUAUUGGCGAGAGACCGAUAGCGAACAAGUACAGUGAUGGAAAGAUGAAAAGAACUUUGAAAAGAGAGUGAAAAAGUACGUGAAAUUGUUGAAAGGGAAGGGUUUGAGAUCAGACUCGAUAUUUUGUGAGCCUUGCCUUCGUGGCGGGGUGACCCGCAGCUUAUCGGGCCAGCAUCGGUUUGGGCGGUAGGAUAAUGGCGUAGGAAUGUGACUUUGCUUCGGUGAAGUGUUAUAGCCUGCGUUGAUGCUGCCUGCCUAGACCGAGGACUGCGAUUUUAUCAAGGAUGCUGGCAUAAUGAUCCCAAACCGCCCGUCUUGAACCCCGGGACCAUG
rnacentral:rRNA from 1 species